UAUGUGUGGAAAACUAUAAGAACUAUAGAAAUAGACGACUUCUGACAGGACAUUAGCCUACAUAAGCCGACCUAUAAAGUCAGGAAGCAGUAUGCAUAACUAGCUUCUAUUUUAAAGAAAAACAAGUUAGUUGGCUAUAUUGUUUAAUUUCGCUUUCAGUUAUGCGCUCGGUAACCUUGGUUGCUUGAAAAAUGUAACCUACUUGUGCUGUCUUUCUUUUAAAAUGGCAUUUGAUAUAGUGUUUUUCUGUCUAGUGCAGAUAUUAAGUGGACUUUUUAGCGAUUAAAAACAUUUUUGGGCCACUGUAGUUGAUCAAGACGGAGGCUCAUAAACCCGACAGGCUGAGACAGUUCUGCGAUGGAGUUCACAGAAGAGGAGAAAAUAUGGCUGCAAAGACUAUCUGCUGAAAUACCUGAAGGAAAUGAACUCACUCCAAAGGAGAAGCAAUUACGGGAGAAAGCAAAGCCAGAGACUGAAUUUCAGGCCCAGCUCUUCCAAGCUAUGGCCUCCAUAAGAUUUGCACUGAAUGAUUCAAUAACCUCAACAAUAGAGGUGAAAAACUCUGUCCAUCAGAGAAGCAGUGUCUCGUCACUAUGUGGAUAGUCAUCAAAUGCCAAGAUGAUGACAUGUUUACCUUUUAUCUUUUUCACGAUCUCACCUGGGUAUUGUUAUCUUAUUAAUGAUUUAUUAGUGGAUCACAGGUUUAGAUUAUACUUGCUAUACAACAGGGAAUGUGACGGCAUUAUGUUUUUUAUUUGUUUUUUUUUUUUUUACCUCAGCUCAUGAAAUGUUUCAUCAGUUAAUCACAAAUGGAUGCUUCAUUGCUGUGCAAAGUUGAGAAAAUUUGAGAAUAUAAUGCUAUUGCUGUUUGCAUGCUCUUUUAUAGUUGUAUGAUCUAUGAAAUCACUGGAAAAUGAAUCCAGGUUGUUUUUGUUUUUAAAACGUCAUUGGUGCUCCCCCCCCCCCCCCCCCCACAUACAUGCUAAUGCUUUUGAAAUGUUGCCAAGUGAAGGUUCUUCAGAAACUCAGUAUGCAUGUAUUUUGUCAUGCUCACAGGGAUGAUAACAUCUCUACCUCAUUCAAAGUACAAUAACAAACAGUACAUUGCAUUUUUUUCUUUUGCACACAUGUAUAAUAAAUUGGACCAUGAUAUUUGGACAAACGUAGAUUUGAACUUUCAGAUGUUUGUUUCAACACUGUUUACUUUGAGUUCUAUCCAUGGUCCAAAACAAAUGUUAUUUCCAAAAAUGUAUGUGCAUUCCACUCUGUUUCCACAUUUAACCUAACAUAAAAAAAAGAAAGAAAAUAAAUUGACUGUACUUGUAAUAAAUAAAAAUUCAAACGAA